rnacentral:rRNA from 1 species
UACGAAGGGGGCUAGCGUUGUUCGGAAUUACUGGGCGUAAAGCGCGCGUAGGCGGUGAUCUUUGUCAGAGGUGAAAUCCCGAGGCUCAACUUCGGAAUUGCCUUUGAAACGGGAUUGCUUGAGUCCGAGAGAGGAUGGCGGAAUUCCUAGUGUAGAGGUGAAAUUCGUAGAUAUUAGGAAGAACACCGGUGGCGAGGGCGGCCAUCUGGCUCGGUACUGACGCUCAGGCGCGAAAGCGUGGGGAGCAAACAGG